CGGGAAGUAGCGCAGUUUGGCUAGCGCGCAUGGUUCGGGACCAUGAGGUCGCGGGUUCGAAUCCCGCCUUCCCGACCA
rnacentral:tRNA from 1 species